ensembl:ncRNA T24B8.13 ncRNA
AAGACAGUUGGAUAGUACAAAUACCUUCCAAACAUGGCCCCGUCUCUCUCCGUUUUGUUUGUAUAUUGUCUUCAACCUUUUCCGUCCGUUCGAUUCACUGAGCCACUUAGGUCACACUUGGCGGCAAAUCUGCAAGUCUCGUAGAUGA